rnacentral:misc_RNA from 1 species
GAUGAAGAACGUAGCGAAAUGCGAUACGUAAUGUGAAUUGCAGAAUUCAGUGAAUCAUCGAAUCUUUGAACGCAUAUUGCGCUCUCUGGUAUUCCGGAGAGCAUGCUUGUUUGAGUAUCAGUAAACACCUCAACUCUUUUUUCUUUUUUGAAAUUGGAGCUGGACUUGAGUGAUCCCAACGCUUUCUUCCAAGAAAGUGGCGGGUUGCUUGAAAUGCAGGUGCAGCUGAACUUUUCUCUGAGCUAUAAGCAUAUCUAUUUAGUCUGCCUAAAAAACAGAUUAUUACCUUUGCUGCAGCUAACAUAAAGGAGACUAGUUCUUGUGCUGACUGAUGCAGGAUUCACAGAGACAGCUUCGGCUGACUUUGUAAACUCGAUCUCAAAUCAAGUAAGACUACCCGCUGAACUUAAGCAUAUCAAUAAGCGGAGA